rnacentral:rRNA from 1 species
CCCUUAGAUGUUCUGGGCCGCACGCGCGCUACACUGAUGCAUUCAACGAGUUUUGUUUGUUCCUUGGCCGAGAGGCCUGGGCAAUCUUUUGAACUUGCAUCGUGAUAGGGAUAGAUUAUUGCAAUUAUUAAUCUUGAACGAGGAAUUCCUAGUAAACGCAGAUCAUCAAUCUGCAUUGAUUGCGUCCCUGCCCUUUGUACACACCGCCCGUCGCACCUACCGAUUGAAUGGUCCGGUGAAGCCUCGGGAUUGUGGUUGGUUUCCUUUAUUGGAGAUUGAUUGCGAGAACUUGUCUAAACCUUAUCAUUUAGAGGAAGGUGAAGUCGUAACA